UCAUGUUUUAGUCAAUUCAAAUGAAUAUUUCCAAGGAAUUCAGUUUAUAAUUAAAUUUAGGAUAUAAUAGUGCCCUAAACUUUUUUUUCUUUUCUUUUUUGAGACCAGGUCUCACUUUGUCACCCAGGCUGGGAUAGAAUGACAUAAUCAUAGCUCACUGCAGCCUCGAAUUCUGGGCCUCAAGAGAAACCCUCACCUCAGUCCCCUACCCCCAGUCCAGUUUGCCAGCCUCAGCCUCCCAAAAUGCUGGGAUUACAGGAGUGAGCUACCAUAUCUGGUACCCUAAACGUUUUUGAUUGGCUAGGGGAUAUAAUACUGAGAGGUGAAGCCAGCUGGACUUCCUGGGUCGAGUAGGGGCUUGGAGAACUUUUCUGUCUAGCUAAAGGAUUGUUAACACACCAAUCAGCACUCUGUAAAAGGGACCAAUCAGCAGGACG
rnacentral:lncRNA from 1 species